rfam:Ictidomys tridecemlineatus contig042988, whole genome shotgun sequence.
UGGGGUGUGGCUCAGUGGUAGAGUGCUUGCCUAGCAUACGUGAAGCCCUGAGUUCAAACCUCAGCACCACAU